rnacentral:rRNA from 1 species
GAACCUACGGGGGGCAGCAGUGAGGAAUAUUGGUCAAUGGUCGGGAGACUGAACCAGCCAAGCCGCGUGAGGGAUGAAGGUACAGAGUAUCGUAAACCUCUUUUGUCAGGGAACAAAGGCGGGGACGCGUCCCCGGAUGAGUGUACCUGAAGAAAAAGCAUCGGCUAACUCCGUGCCAGCAGCCGCGGUAAUACGGAGGAUGCGCGCGUUAUCCGGAUUUUUUGGGUUUAAAGGGUGCGCAGGCGUGGUGUUAAGUUAGGUGUCAAA